rnacentral:misc_RNA from 1 species
AUACCCUCAAACAUAGCCUGCACAAAGAAAACAUAGCAUCAUUACAAAAUGUAAUCAGAAAGCAGAGAAACUAAACAAUCACAUGGCUACAAUGUACAAUCUGAAGCAUAAAUUUAAAAGCCAGUUACACAACUACAAAGGCAAAGUUUCAGAUCCACAUUAAAAAAAAGACAAGCCAAGCACACAAGUUUUUGCCACUGCAGGUUCUGAGAAAGCAGCCUUCACUAGAUGUUGCAGAGGCUAUUUCCGUGUUUCAAACACACGAUGAAACAUUUUACAAGAAACCUUACUAUUGCACCAACCAUCAGCAAAUACAAAGAUGUUGAAUCAAAAAUAGGAUCGAAGUACGGAUAAGAAGAUAGUAGCAGUGUUUUCAGCCAACUGGUAGCAAACUGGCAAUACCAAAAAUAAUCACAUGCUCACACCACAAUGAAUUUUACAGUGAAAGACUAUCAAAGAUGCUCUAAACUGAUUUACUCAAAGUACAGUAUUCCAACUUCAAAUGAAUGAUGAAACAGCCACAUAAAUACAGCAAUGGAGAGCCGUAAAAAACAUGGAGAACUCCCUGUUUAAAACCAAAAAAUGUCUAAUUCUAACGUCUAGGAUUUGACUACAUGAAUAAGGUUAGCAGACAUAUUAUUUGUAAUAAUCUCCACAUUAGUGUGCGUGUGUGUGUGUACAAUUUAUUGUGAGUCUGUUGAAUUGGUUAAAAAAACAUGGUAGAAUCCAAUAAAAGCGUCACCAUGUUGGGUAUAAGCAGAAAUUAAGAAGACAAACACAUAAAUAAGGUUUCUGUUCUUCACAAUACUAUCAAACUAAAUAAACAAACAAUGGAGUGAUGGAAAAUCAUACGGUUGGUUAAUAGUUAGUGCCAUCCCAGAGUAAAUGAUAUAGACAGCUUCAAAUGCUUGUGAUAGAAAUUAAUUCACGUAGAGACAUCAAGCAGUUCAUCUUCAAGCCAUAAAAAAUCAUGAAACCACGAUAUUAUGUGAGAAAGAUAUAAAAUAUUGAAGUACGGAGAAUUCAAAACCUUUGCAAGAAGAGUUCCAAGAA